AUACGUAGGGUGCAAGCGUUAAUCGGAAUUACUGGGCGUAAAGCGUGCGCAGGCGGUUUUGUAAGACAGAGGUGAAAUCCCCGGGCUCAACCUGGGAACUGCCUUUGUGACUGCAAGGCUAGAGUACGGCAGAGGGGGAUGGAAUUCCGCGUGUAGCAGGGAAAUGCGUAGAUAUGCGGAGGAACACCGAUGGCGAAGGCAAUCCCCUGGGCCUGCACUGACGCUCAUGCACGAAAGCGUGGGGAGCAAACAGGAUUAGAUACCCUGGUAGUCCACGCCCUAAACGAUGUCAACUCGUUGUUGGGGAUUUAUUUUCUCAGUAACGAAGCUAACGCGUGAAGUUGACCGCCUGGGGAGUACGGCCGCAAGGUUAAAACUCAAAGGAAUUGACGGGG
rnacentral:rRNA from 1 species